rnacentral:RNase_P_RNA from 1 species
GAAAAAGGCUAGGUGAUACUCGUUAUCUAACGAUAGCGGGAGGAAAGUCCGAGCUCCAAAGGGAAGCGUAAUGGCUUAAUAGCCAUCCUUUAAUUUUAUUUAAAUUGAAGAGGAUACUCUUGAAAAAAGAGCCCCGUUUUUACGGGUGAGAGCCACAGAGACGAGUAGUUCGUGUUAAGCGAAUGACGUGAAACGAGGUAAUCUCUACGCGGAGCAAGGCCAAGUAGAAGGAGAGAACUAUCCCGGUUCGUUAUUAUCCUUGGGUUGGCCGCUUGAAUCUGAUGGAAACAUCGGAUCUUAGAUAAAUGUCACCGCUCAGAAAUGAGUAAACAGAACUCGGCUUACAGGCCUGUUUUUAAA